UUCAUAGCUCAGUCGGUAGAGCAGAGGACUGAAAAUCCUUGUGUCACUGGUUCGAUUCCAGUUGAAG
rnacentral:tRNA from 1 species